UUAAGUGCUGGAUAAUGAGUAGGCGAUAGGUUCUUAUCCAAUACUAUUUUUAAGUAGGCGAUGAUUUAACUUUGUUCUUUUUCAAUACUAUUUUUGACAUUUACACUCGUUGUGCUCGAGAAACAACACCUUUAGGAUUUGCUCCUAACAUUUUCUUUUUUUUUUUGUAUAUAUCAUGCGGAAAACCAAGGGCAUGACGAUGGAUGGGGCGAGGAGGUAGGCGAACGAACGGUUGGCAGGUGCUCCGUAUACCAUAGAGGCGAGGAGUCCUGCGAAUGGGACGCCUCGCAGACUUGUGGUAACUUUUGAACGGGGGAAGGAUCCAGCACUUCGGCAAGUUUUGGCCGUCCAACUGGCCUUAUCCACAGGAAUAGUACGAGUAUAACAUUGAAGAAACCCACGAAGGAUUCUCGUCAAAGAGUAAAAGCAAAAGCGAUGUCACUCUCUACCAUGAGCAAUACCUCAAGGACUUCUGAAAGUUUUACACUAUUCCGAAGGAAAACCCCAGCUGGUUUGUCCGAAUUUGACCAGUGCUCGAUGCUUUGGCCGUUCGCAAUUUACCGCAAUCCUGCGAGGCGUCGCAGACGUCCAGGAUCCCUCGACCCAGCGCCAUUGGGGGAGGAUCCGUCGUUAACAGAACAAGUAUAUACAGACGUUGUUACGACGCGGAAUACCGCGAUCCCAAUAGGGAUCAAGGAAGCCCAGGAUAAAUGGCAUAACGCUGCGGACUCUGAGCUCUGUCAAUCAUAUUCGU